CUGGACUACAACUCCCAGCAG
rnacentral:miRNA from 1 species